rnacentral:rRNA from 1 species
AUUGAACGCUGGCGGCAGGCUUAACACAUGCAAGUCGAGCGGAGAUGAGGUGCUUGCACCUUAUCUUAGCGGCGGACGGGUGAGUAAUGCGUAGGAAGCUACCCGAUAGAGGGGGAUACCAGUUGGAAACGACUGUUAAUACCGCAUAAUGUCUACGAACCAAAGUGUGGGACCUUCGGGCCACAUGCUAUCGGAUGCGCCUACGUGGGAUUAGCUAGUUGGUGAGGUAAUGGCUCACCAAGGCGACGAUCCCUAGCUGGUUUGAGAGGAUGAUCAGCCACACUGGAACUGAGACACGGUCCAGACUCCUACGGGAGGCAGCAGUGGGGAAUAUUGGACAAUGGGCGCAAGCCUGAUCCAGCCAUGCCGCGUGUGUGAAGAAGGCCUUCGGGUUGUAAAGCACUUUCAGCGAGGAGGAAGGGGUGAGUGUUAAUAGUACUCAUCUUUGACGUUACUCGCAGAAGAAGCACCGGCUAACUCUGUGCCAGCAGCCGCAGUAACAC